AGAAUUUGAUCCUGGUUCAGAUUGAAUGCUGGCGGCGUGGAUGAGGCAUGCAAGUCGAACGGUAUGGGGGCAACUCCAUAUAGUGGCGGAAGGGUUAGUAAUACAUGGGUAACGCACCUUUAACACGGGAAUAACGAUUGGAAACGAUCGCUAAUACCCGAUGUGGUGAGGCGAUUACUUCGCUUUCAUUAAAGUUGGGGACCAGCAAUGGCCUUGCGGUUAAUGAGCGGCCCAUGGGAUAUCAGCUAGUUGGUGUGGUAAUGGCGCACCAAGGCUAAGACGUCUAGGCGGAUUGAGAGAUUGACCGCCAACACUGGGACUGAUAACUGCCCAGACUCCUACGGGAGGCUGCAGUCGAGAAUCAUUCGCACUGGGCGCAAGCCUGACGAUGCGACGCCGCGUGAGCGAUGAAGGCCUUCGGGUUGUAAAGCUCUUUCGCCUGGGAACAAGGAAAGCUGGCUAAUACCCAGUUACUUGAGGGUACCAGGUAAAGAAGCACCGGCUAACUCCGUGCCAGCAGCUGCGGUAAUACGGAGGGUGCAAGCAUUAAUCGGAUUUAUUGGGCGUAAAGGGCGCGUAGGCGGGAAAGUCAGUCAUAUGUGAAAUCCCGGGGCUCAACCUCGGACCCGCAUGUGAAACUACUUUUCUUGAGGGUAGGCGGAGAAAACGGAAUUCCACAAGUAGCGGUGAAAUGCGUAGAUAUGUGGAAGAACACCGGUGGCGAAAGCGGUUUUCUAGCUUAUUCCUGACGCUGAGGCGCGAAAGCAAGGGGAGCAAACAGGAUUAGAUACCCUGGUAGUCCUUGCCGUAAACGAUGUAUACUUGGUGUAGCUGGACUCAACCCUGGCUGUGCCGUAGCUAACGCGUUAAGUAUACCGCCUGGGAAGUACGCUCGCAAGGGUGAAACUCAAAAGAAUUGACGGGGACCCGCACAAGCAGUGGAGCAUGUGGUUUAAUUCGAUGCAACGCGAAGAACCUUACCCAGGCUUGACAUGCAGUAGACAACGCCAGAAAUGGCGUCUUCCUUCGGGACUGCUGCACAGGUGCUGCAUGGCUGUCGUCAGCUCGUGCCGUGAGGUGUUGGGUUAAGUCCCGCAACGAGCGCAACCCUUAUCACUAGUUGCCAGCGCGUAAUGGCGGGAACUCUAGUGAGACUGCCCGGGUUAACCGGGAGGAAGGUGAGGAUGACGUCAAGUCCGCAUGGCCCUUAUGUCUGGGGCUACACACGUGCUACAAUGGCCGGUACAACAGGCUGCCAAACCGCGAGGUGGAGCAAAUCCCAAAAACCGGUCCCAGUUCGGAUUGUAGUCUGCAACUCGACUACAUGAAGUUGGAAUUGCUAGUAAUGGCGAGUCAGCUACAUCGCCGUGAAUACGUUCUC
rnacentral:rRNA from 1 species